rnacentral:rRNA from 1 species
UAGGGAAUCUUCCGCAAUGGGCGAAAGCUUGACGGAGCAACGCCGCGUGAGUGAUGAAGGUCUUCGGAUCGUAAAACUCUGUUAUUAGGGAAGAACAAAUGUGUAAGUAACUAUGCACGUCUUGACGGUACCUAAUCAGACAGCCACGGCUAACUAUGUGCCAGCAGCCGCGGUAAUACGUAGGUGGCAAGCGUUAUCCGGAAUUAUUGGGCGUAAAGCGCGCGUAGGCGGUUUUUUAAGUCUGAUGUGAAAGCCCACGGCUAAACCGUGGAGGGUCAUUGGAAACUGGAGAACUGGAGGGCAGAAGAGUAAAGUGGAAUUCCAUGUGUAGCGGUGAAAUGCGAAGAGAUAUGGAGGAACACCAGUGGCGAGGGCGACUAUCUGGUCUGUAACUGACGCUGAUGUGCAAAAGCGGGGUGAUCAAACAGG